UACGUAGGGUGCGAGCGUUAAUCGGAAUUACUGGGCGUAAAGCGUGCGCAGGCGGUUUUGUAAGUCAGAUGUGAAAUCCCCGGGCUUAACCUGGGAACUGCGUUUGAAACUACAAGGCUAGAGUGUGGCAGAGGGGGGUGGAAUUCCACGUGUAGCAGUGGAAUGCGUAGAGAUGUGGAGGAACACCGAUGGCGAAGGCAGCCCCCUGGGUUAACACUGACGCUCAGGCACGAAAGCGUGGGGAGCAAACAGG
rnacentral:rRNA from 1 species